ACCGAGGUUGGAUUAACCAACGGAGCCACCCAGGCGCCCCUAUUCAUUUGUUUUAUUGCAGCAUUAUCUACAACAGCCAACAUAUGGAAACGACCUAAGUGUGCACAGACAGACGAAUGGGCAAGGAACAUAUGCUACACACACACACAUACGCGUGCACACACUGGAAUAUUACUCAGCCAUAGAAAGAAUGAGGCCCGCCAUCUGUGACGGCAGGGAUGGUUCUGGAGCGUAUUAUGCUCGGCGAAAUAAGCCAGAUCAAGGAUUCUCACCUAGAAAGUUACCUGCCUCCGGGGUGUAGACUGGGGGCACUUACAUGACACUGAGUGAUAUUCACUGGAGGGAGUUUAAAGGGUCAAAUAAAGGGGCCACGAAUCACUUGCUGUUGUCACACGUGCACCGGACAUCCUUGGAUGAACAGGAGGCCUACUGAGCAGGAACUGUGCUCGUAAGUAACAACGCCAGUAAGCGCCCCGACUGGUUUCUUCCGGAGUCUCCAUGGGCAUCCAGCCUGAUGACCACCGAGGGUGUUCGUGUGGCCUGCACACGCCGACGUGGAUUGUGCCUUCACGGGACACUGAUGGGCCUUCAGAUUUUUCUUAUUAUUUUAAGUUUGGAGACGGACCAAGAACCAUCUUUGCCACAAGGCUGGGUUGAGGCCCCAGGGAAGAAGACAAAGUGAGGACGCCCCCGGUCUCUUCCCCCUCUUUGUGUCUGCCCUCCAGGCUGCGUGCGCUUGCUCUGUGUCGUUACUGAUUUCCGACACUUUGUCAGGUAACGUCUCCGGGUUGUGGACGUUUGCAAGUACCGUCCGGAGAUCUGACUCAAGCCCGCGGGCCCGUGCCAGGACCUGGCCGUGUCCGGCCGCCGAGCUCUCCGCAGGGAGUCUGCUGCCCAGUUAUUUUUGAUGUCGCCGUUCCCUCCUCCCAGAAUUGGGACUGGGUCUGUCCGUUCUCCGAGGAGCCUCCGCUCCUCCACCAAAGGCUCUUGACGGCUCCCUCCCGUCAGCAGGAAGGCACCGGCAGCGCCACCCAGGGCUGUCAGUGGUCGACCAGCACUCCGGUCCUCGGGGCGGUUCUCGGGUCCACGUCUCCACCUUCGCCUGGACGAUGUCUGACCGUGCCCCAGGCUCCAGGAAAGUCUCACCUCCUCCUUCUCGUGUCUCUGAGCCCCGCGACCCCUCACCAUGUCCCUCCACGGACGGUGAGCUCCGUGAGUACGGGUGUCUGUCACCUUUGCUGCCCCGGGGCCGGUGCCCGGCUCCCAAGGGGGCGUUCGGUGAUGGUGCAAGAUCGAACAAAUGGGUAAGUGAGGGGAGACGGCCCACGUGCAGCCUUCUCCCUGGGCCGUUUUCUCCUCUCCUUGCCCGGCACUCAUCCCCCUGACGUGACCGCUCCCUGCCGUGAGAGCUCAGGAUGCUUCACCUGUUUCUCACCCCUCAGGCAGCACAUUCUCGGGUACAUGUCCUCGGGCACCUGGGCCCCACUGGGAGCCCUUUGAAGGGGAGCUAUGUCUUAGCUGUCUUGUAACCGCUGGAGCCACAGCAGUUCUUGGCCACGGUGGACAUUUGGUUAGUGGUUCCGGAACAGACGGGCAAGAGAUGAAUGCAAAAGUACCAGGUGCUUUGAUCAGAGGCUCAGUGAAGUUCAUGUGACGCUCAGCCCACAUUCUCCGCGUGCGUGUGCACUGGGCACGUGUGUGCAUACACUCGUGGAUGCCGUGAGCUCUUGGAGUAAGAUUCCUGUUAACCCGCUAAAUGUGACGGAAGAGAGAUCUGGCAUUAUUGUAGAAUGGCACAACUUUCUGUCCUAAGUUCUCGGCUCCUGGGGACAUGUGGGAGGAGGGAGGCAGGCUGACCGUGGCUCACCACCCACCUUUUGGGUUCCACAGUCCUCUGCCUCCAAGAUUAAACCCGCAAACGUCAUCCUCGAAGCCGUGUAUGAAAGUCAAAGCCCUCAAGCCUGGAUCCAGAGGUGGUUCCACGGAGGCGAACACAUGGUUAAGCCAAACCCAGAGAACGGGGGGCACAGACGCGGGCCCUGCGCCUUCCCGCCCCGUGGAGAACGGCUUCAUGAUUGCACGUUGCUGGUGAGUGCCCCCUGCGUGGCCCCCUGCAUGAUGCGGCCUGGCCGCCAGCUGUUGACCGAAGCCUGGGAAGGACAUCGGCACCACCCUGCCCUCCCAGAGCUGCCGGGGACAGCGAGGCGAGCAGGCCAGGAUCGGGCACCUUCCCGUCGCUCUUGUCUGCGGCUCACAGGGCAGUGGGACCGACAGACCGCCCACUGACGGGCCCGGUGGGCAGGACGCCCCGGGAGGAGGUGGCCUGGCCCCUCGGUCCCGCGGGCUUCUGGUCUGGUUAGUGCCGGCCGUGCGGCUGUCUCCACAGAGGCUCUCAGAGCCUGUGUCCACAUCCCUGCGUCCCCUCAGAGCCUUGAGGUCCCCGGCGAAGGCAUACGGCAGCCAGGCCUUCUGUGCCAUCACGGGGGACAGUCCUACACUCUGCUCCUUGUGUCUGCCUUUCUGGGCGAGAUUUCUUUUGAAGAAAGGAAUCUGAAUCUGAGGCUAAAGAAACGUCUGGAAACCCCUACUUUAGUUUCAGAUGGCUGCUGUAUACUUACUGGGCUAAAAUAAACGCUGUUUGCUCCA